rnacentral:rRNA from 1 species
UACGAAGGGGGCUAGCGUUGCUCGGAAUCACUGGGCGUAAAGCGCACGUAGGCGGCUUUCUAAGUCAGGGGUGAAAUCCUGGAGCUCAACUCCAGAACUGCCUUUGAUACUGGAGAGCUUGAGUCCGGGAGAGGUGAGUGGAACUCCGAGUGUAGAGGUGAAAUUCGUAGAUAUUCGGAAGAACACCAGUGGCGAAGGCGGCUCACUGGCCCAGUACUGACGCUGAUGUGCGAAAGCGUGGGGAGCAAACAGG